rnacentral:lncRNA from 1 species
GAAAUGACUGCUAGCCUGGACGAGUCCAAGUCUGUGAUUUGAGUGCCACAGCCUUCUAGUACAAUUAUCUGGAGAGGAAAGCCCUUGAUGUGCAGGCACACAAGGACCCAUGCUUCCUCCAUCCUUCACUAAUGUCCCAGGGAAGAUUAAAACACUGGUCCACGCUGCAACACUAGGUGUGCUAUAUUGACGAGAGCAAAGUAUAACACAGAUCAAUAUGAUGAAUUUUAAA